rnacentral:rRNA from 1 species
CCUACGGGAGGCAGCAGUGGGGAAUUUUGGACAAUGGGCGAAAGCCUGAUCCAGCAAUGCCGCGUGAGUGAAGAAGGCCUUCGGGUUGUAAAGCUCUUUUGUCAGGGAAGAAACGGUGUUUUCUAAUACAGAAUGCUAAUGACGGUACCUGAAGAAUAAGCACCGGCUAACUACGUGCCAGCAGCCGCGGUAAUACGUAGGGUGCAAGCGUUAAUCGGAAUUACUGGGCGUAAAGCGUGCGCAGGCGGUUUUGUAAGUCUGACGUGAAAUCCCCGUGCUCAACCUGGGAAUUGCGUUGGAGACUGCAAGGCUAGAGUUUGGCAGAGGGGGGUAGAAUUCCACGUGUAGCAGUGAAAUGCGUAGAUAUGUGGAGGAACACCGAUGGCGAAGGCAGCCCCCUGGGUCAAGACUGACGCUCGUGCACGAAAGCGUGGGGAGCAAACAGGAUUAGAUACCCUGGUAGUCCACGCCCUAAACGAUGUCUACUAGUUGUCGGGUCUUAAUUGACUUGGUAACGCAGCUAACGCGUGAAGUAGACCGCCUGGGGAUACGGUCGCAAGAUUAAAACGUCAAAGGAUUGACGGCNGAGACGUGCGACGACGACGACGAGGGAGGAGG